rnacentral:rRNA from 1 species
UACGUAGGGUCCAAGCGUUAAUCGGAAUUACUGGGCGUAAAGCGUGCGCAGGCGGUUGUGUAAGUCAGAUGUGAAAUCCCCGGGCUCAACCUGGGAAUUGCAUUUGAGACUGCACGGCUAGAGUGUGUCAGAGGGGGGUAGAAUUCCACGUGUAGCAGUGAAAUGCGUAGAGAUGUGGAGGAAUACCGAUGGCGAAGGCAGCCUCCUGGGCCAGCACUGACGCUCAUGCACGAAAGCGUGGGGAGCAAACAGG